rnacentral:rRNA from 1 species
UACGUAGGGUGCAAGCGUUGUCCGGAAUUAUUGGGCGUAAAGAGCUCGUAGGCGGUCUGUCGCGUCGGCUGUGAAAACUCGGGGCUCAACUCCGAGCUUGCAGUCGAUACGGGCAGACUAGAGUGCGGUAGGGGAGACUGGAAUUCCUGGUGUAGCGGUGAAAUGCGCAGAUAUCAGGAGGAACACCGGUGGCGAAGGCGGGUCUCUGGGCCGUAACUGACGCUGAGGAGCGAAAGCGUGGGGAGCGAACAGG